rnacentral:rRNA from 1 species
GGAUUAGGCAUGCAAGUCGGGGGAAUCCCAGCAAUGGGGGAACCGGCGUAAGGGGCGGUAAGGCAUGGGUACCUACCCUGAAGUUCGGGAUAGCCAUCAGAGAUGGUGGGUAAUACCGGAUGAUGUCGUGAGACCAAAGAUUUAUCGCUUUGGGAGGGGCCCAUGUGAUAUUAGCUAGUUGGUGAGGUAACGGCUCACCAAGGCAAAGAUGUCUAGCGGGUAUGAGAGUACGACCCGCGCCACUCGCACUGAGACACUGGCGAGACACCUACGGGUGGCUGCAGUCGAGGAUCUUCGGCAAUGGGCGAAAGCCUGACCGAGCGACGCCGCGUGCGCGAUGAAGGCCUUCGGGUUGUAAAGCGCUUUAGUGGGGGAGAAAAGGGUAAAACUUUGAUCUAUCCCAAAAAUAAGCUCGGGCUAAGUUCGUGCCAGCAGCCGCGGUAAGACGAACCGAGCGAACGUUGUUCGGAAUCACUGGGCUUAAAGGGCGCGUAGGCGGGCUGUCAAGUCUGGGGUGAAAUCCCACGGCUCAACCGUGGAACUGCCUUAGAUACUGACGGCCUCGAGGGAGAUAGGGGCGAGCGGAACUGUGAGUGGAGCGGUGAAAUGCGUUGAUAUUCACAGGAACUCCGGUGGCGAAGGCGGCUCGCUGGAUCUCUUCUGACGCUGAGGCGCGAAAGCUAGGGGAGCAAACGGGAUUAGAUACCCCGGUAGUCCUAGCCCUAAACGUUGGGUACUGGGUAGUAGACUAGACAUGGGUUUACUGCCGCAGCAAAGGUGCUAAGUACCCCGCCUGGGGAGUAUGGUCGCAAGGC